rnacentral:misc_RNA from 1 species
GAUGAAGAACGUAGCGAAAUGCGAUAAGUAAUGUGAAUUGCAGAAUUCAGUGAAUCAUCGAAUCUUUGAACGCACAUUGCGCCCCUUGGUAUUCCGAGGGGCAUGCCUGUUCGAGCGUCAUUAUAACCCCUCAAGCUCAGCUUGGUGUUGGGGCCUGCUGCACUGGCAGCCCUUAAAAUCAGUGGCGGCGCCAUCUGGCUCUUAGCGUAGUAAUUCUUCUCGCUAUGGAGUCCUGGUGGAUGCUUGCCAUCAACCCCCAAUUUUUCUAUGGUUGACCUCGGAUCAGGUAGGGAUACCCGCUGAACUUAAGCAUAUCAAUAAGCGGAGGA